rnacentral:rRNA from 1 species
AACGAACGCUGGCGGCAUGCCUAACACAUGCAAGUCGAACGAGACCUUCGGGUCUAGUGGCGCACGGGUGCGUAACGCGUGGGAACCUGCCCUUAGGUUCGGAAUAACUCCCCGAAAGGGGUGCUAAUACCGGAUAAUGUCUUCGGACCAAAGAUUUAUCGCCUUUGGAUGGGCCCGCGUUGGAUUAGCUAGUUGGUAGGGUAAAAGCCUACCAAGGCGACGAUCCAUAGCUGGUCUGAGAGAAUGAUCAGCCACACUGGGACUGAAACACGGCCCAGACUCCCACGGGGGGCAGAAGUGGGAAAUAGUAGAAAAGGGGGGAAGGCCAAAUCCAGCAAUGCCGCGUAAGGGAUGAAGGCGUAAGGGUUGUAAAGCUCUUUUCCCCGGGAGGAUAAUGACAGCCCCGGGAGAAUAAGCUCCGGCAAACCCCG